UGGUUUUCAUAGAACUUAAUGAUUCUUGUGGUGCGAAAUAGAUAAGCACACAAAUUAAACCCUCUUUUGUCAAAUUGUAGUAGAGAUGUAAGUAGGGAUCGUUCUAGACCGGAGAUUAGGAGGGAUUGCUAAACACUUGGAAACUGACUUAAAAACUCAAAAACAAAGUUUAAACCACUAAACUAGACUCAAAGAAUGCAAAACUAAAGGUUAAAACACUUAAACAAACCUAAGACUCAAAACAGCAACCUAAUGACUCAAAACUGCCUAAAAACCACUUUCUGGGCAGUUUUGAGAACCUAACAAGAACUUGGACGAAUUUGAGUGAAAACUUGAAUCAAAACACUUAAAAACACAAAUCGAAACACUAUCUAACUAAUCUAAGAUUUCAAAACAAAGGGGGAUUGGUUUUGGACGAAAAUUGAAAACAAAACAGAAACUUUAAACUAAACAGAUUGUAGAACGUUUUGAAUAAAAGGAUGGAUAAAAGGCUAGUUAGGAGGUUCUUCUCCACACAUGUCACACUUGCAAACAAAACGAUUAUUCAGUUGUUCUUCCAAUGAAUUAUGAAUACUCAACGCCCCAAAUUAACCGUGAAUUGCACUAGUUAACCCUCAGUUUUUCCACAAGUUAUUAAGUUGGAUGAUUGCAUACGACAACCUAAAACAUUCCCUACAAGUUCCCUACAUGAAUUGCAUAAUAGAGAUACAAGCAAGAAUCAUUACGUUCUAUGAAAAACAUAAGCAUUGACGAAGCAUUUGUUACUAUGAAUUGCAUGAAACUUAUGCUAAGAACUCAUUCAACGCGAUCGUUUUUUAUAGGAGCAUAUUUAUGCGCCUUAGUUAGCUAGUUCUUAUGCAUU
rnacentral:lncRNA from 1 species